rnacentral:rRNA from 1 species
GUGAGGAAUAUUGGUCAAUGGGCGCAAGCCUGAACCAGCCAAGUAGCGUGCAGGAUGACGGCCCUAUGGGUUGUAAACUGCUUUUGUAUGGGGAUAAAGUGAUUUACGUGUAAAUUAUUGCAGGUACCAUACGAAUAAGGACCGGCUAAUUUCGUGCCAGCAGCCGCGGUAAUACGGAAGGUCCAGGCGUUAUCCGGAUUUAUUGGGUUUAAAGGGAGCGUAGGCCGUCAAUUAAGCGUGUUGUGAAAUGUAGAUGCUUAACAUCUGAAUUGCAGCGCGAACUGGUUGACUUGAGUAUGCAGGAAGUAGGCGGAAUUCGUGGUGUAGCGGUGAAAUGCUUAGAUAUCACGAAGAACUCCGAUUGCGAAGGCAGCUUACUGUAGCAUUACUGACGCUGAAGCUCGAAAGUGCGGGUAUCGAACAGGAUUAGAUACCCUUGUAGUCC